rnacentral:rRNA from 1 species
UACGGGGGGGGCAAGCGUUGUUCGGAAUUACUGGGCGUAAAGGGCUCGUAGGCGGCCAACUAAGUCGGAUGUGAAAUCCCCAAGCUUAACUUGGGAACUGCAUCCGAUACUGGAUGGCUUGAAUCCGGGAGAGGGAUGCAGAAUUCCAGGUGUAGCGGUGAAAUGCGUAGAUAUCUGGAGGAACACCGGUGGCGAAGGCGGCAUCCUGGACCAAUAUUGACGCUGAGGAGCGAAAGCCAGGGGAGCAAACGGG